CGACCUCAACCGGAGUUCAGCGGCGGGUCACAGCAGCGGGGGCGUAGGGGGUGGGUACGGCUGCAGAAGCGUAGUGGGUAGGUGCGGCGGUGACCUUAGACCUCCAGGCCUGGUUAUUUCCGUUUCACUCGCCCCUGCUGCCGUUUGGUGAGGGAGGGGAGCUACGCCUAGUCCGGUUCUUUCUCUACACUACCGGUCUGGAAGUGUAGGAAAGAAAGGAAGGAGUACCUCCUACCCGACUUCGCCGCUGCGGGGACCGCCAUCUCUUGUUCCCACACUUGGGUUGAGUUAUAACGUCGACCGUUCACUGUGCCCUCCACGUCCGUUUUAGGAUCGGCCACCUCCGCCGGUACUAGUAGCGGCUUUAGCUACGUGUCUACUGGCCGUGGUCCCUCCUCAAGCUGUCGCUCCGCCACUAGACACGACGGUACCAGUUACUUGUUCGGGUUGCUCCACCCUCUGGUGCGAUGAGUAGCAGUGACUAUUUCCCAAGUAGUUGUAGCAGCAGCCCAACGAGUUCGUGAGACUGUUCCUCUCGGAACGCUCUUUCUUGUUUAGUCCUAAGUUACGGGACGUGUAGUGACGUUUCCUUCCGGUGCCUCCACUCGUGACUGUUUGUGAAGUUAUGAUUUGGUGAAGACUAACCAGUAUAAAAAUGUACCCUUCUCCCAUCGAAACCUGGAACACAGAUCUGAUCUUAGAGUAUCAAACGUACUUCUUUCCCCAAAUACCUAAAGAUUUAAUUAACUAACGGUACCAAAAAACCCAGAAACUAGUUAGAGGCACCUAGGCUAACAUAAUCAAAACGUCACGACUUUAAAUGGACUAGACAUACUAUUGAUGUCACACGGUAACGGAUGUGUUCGAUUACUCGUUCUUUCUACCUGUAGACUGUGACGAACAUCUAUAACACUUCCAUGAGGACCUGGUACUAGCUAGGGAACCCUUUUGUAGACCGGUUAGUUUUACACUGAGGAGACUAUUAACGCAGCUAAUCUCCGGUGGUGCUACAUCGCUUGGAAGACGACCUCGCUCUAAGACCUAACGAACUUGAUAGUUUCCGUUUCCCUUGUUGUUAAAAAUAAAAGGACCAUGUCCCUUAAAGGGAUGUGUUGUUUCAUACACAAUACCGUGACGAUCUUCCUCCCGCGCUCUCCCGGCCGGCCCCCGGAAAACGGGUGCCGGCCUGUUCUACCUUCCCUAAAGGAAAAAUUAAGAACGAACUAAUCUAACUAUGUAGAGGAGAGAAAUAUAUCUCUCCAAAUGAACUGAGGGUUCGUUCGUUGGGAAUAGAGAUUAAUUGGGAUUCUGAUUACCCGAUAUGGCGGUCGGGUCCGGGUAAUCCGGGUAAUGCAUGAGAUUGUGAUGUGGGGUGGACCUGUACGUCGAACAGGAGUUCGACGUCGGAUUGGUUGAAUAUUGGUACUGAGCUGCGUUGUGUUUGGAUUGUGGAUUUUUGUUCGUAAAAUGUAGAGCCGAACAAAAUAAUGAGAGUUGGACUUUACCUGACCCUGCGAAAUAAAACUUGGGGAAUUGUUUUUCACCUGUGGUAGGCGUGCAGUCUGCACGUGCACAUGUCGGUGGACCUAGGGUACCUGUGGUAGACCUGUUUUCCUCACGUACCCAUACCGGUGGACCUUCACCAGCGUUCUCGCCGGUCGUCUCCGCGGGAACGCCGCCGGCCGCUUUACGUCACCACGAUGCGCCACGUGAGGACAGCCACUGUGGGACGGAAGAGGGGCGGCCUGCCGACAACCAGACGUGGCGUGUCUCUUCUCACCUCCUGAACGCUACCUCUUACUGCUCCUCCCCACGGGGGGGGGUUAGCGGUUACAGCGACUGAAACUCCAGCGACAGGCACCCCUACUCUAGCUCCAGGAAACGCGUCGCUUCCUGUUGACCCUCCUCGCCGUCGACGUCUGGUGCGUAUGGGGCGUGUGCGGCUGCGCGGUCCUCCGGUGCGCGUCGUCGGACAUCGGAGUGGCGGCGGCUGUGCACCGCGCAUCGUUAGGUUCGGCCUUCGCCACUGCCGCUGCCGCCCUUGAACUAGACGACCUACCCCUGCGGGACCCUUUCGCCACUACCGCUGCUGCUCUUGAACUAGACCACCUAGCUCUGAGGGCGGCCGCGCCAGCUACGCCCCGGCCUCGACUGCACCUACCGUCGCCGGGCCGCUCGCGCCGCCGCCCUGCCACCUACCGUCGCCGGGCCGCUCGCGCCGCCACCGGCGGUCCUCGCUGCCGACGGUGAAGUCGGUCGCACCCCGCCUCCGGCGGACCACGCCGCCGACGGUGGUGCCGCCGCGCCACCGCCGCGUCGGACCACGCCGGGCAUCCUGGGCCGGUUCUUGUCCGCCUAGAGGACCUGGCGGACCCAAUCCACAGCGUCGCAGGGCCUGUGGAGGAGGCCCCACUGCUGCCUCCACCGCCCGCGCUGCCUCCUAGGGCCGCGCCCGUCCUCGCCCCGCUGCCAGCACCACCAGAGGCCUCCGCUGUUCCACUGGCCGUCGCCCUCUCUGCCCAAUCCGCCGCCACUUCUGUACUAGCUUGGUUUCGAUCAACUAUGGUUAAACAAUACCGCGACGAUCUUCCCCCGCGCUCUCCCGGCCGGCCCCCGGAAAACGGGUGCCAGCCCGUUCUACCUUCCCUAAAGGAAGAAUUAAGAACGAACUAAUCUAACUAUGUAGAGGAGAGAAAUAUAUCUCUCCAAAUGAACUGAGGGUUCGUUCGCUGUAAAUAGAGAUUAAUUGGGAUUCUGAUUACCCGAUAUGGCGGUCGGGUCCGGGUAAUGCAUGAGAUUGUCAUACAUAAAUGUAGUCUUUUUAAGGAAUCGAAAACGUCUUUGUACUAAACCAAAUUAAUAAAUAAUCGUGAUGGGUUUAAAUGUAACCUAAACAUACGUGUGAAGACUUUCAGCAUAAAAAAUUGGCAUUCAAUGGUGUUAUUGUUAAGAUUCAAAUAAUAAAUUAAGUUAUAAAGAUAACCGUUAAUCAAAACAAAUAAGGUGGAGUGACGUAAUUUGAGGUGGUCAAACUUAAAGAACUAAGAUGUCUGGGAUGAACACGGUAACACACAAGGAGGUGAAGACCGGAGGAGGUAAUGGUCACUGAUUGUGAUGUUAUUUAUACGUUUAUUACAUUCAAACGUUCGACGUUAGGUUUAAUAUCAGUUUUGAUUCUUGACAUAAGGAAGAUUAAAGCCCUUUUCCAUCAAGCAGUUAAACGAAUCUUAAAUGUUCUUGACUCAUCAACAGUGGGCGAACGUAUUUUAUCUGCCAGAUUAAAUACUGUACGAAUCCAAAGAACAGUAUGUAAAAUUAAACCAUUCUUUUAAGCGUACAUCAAAAUUUAACUGAGCAAGAACCUCGAUCGUUACCUAUAAAGGAAACCGCUAACGGUCAAAAUUAAACUCGUAAUAUAUAUCUCUAACUCACCCUCGAUUCUACGGAUCUUCAAAUAAUAGCAAACUAGGGGGUAAAGCAAACUGAUCUAGACACUGUUUGUUAUCAUAUUACCAAAAAAGAAGGAGAUAUACGGGAUAUAUCCGUAAAGGAUAAAACACGAUCUCAUUUUUAUUAUAAAUUGAAACACGAAACGUACGUCAUCAAAACGAUGUGAUAUCAUCGUUGUUAGGAACGCACUGUUAAUAACAUGGCUAAUGUAGUAUCGUUUAGUAUCGUUUCCCUGUUAUACUCCCCGGAAGUUUGACGUCAAACUCUCUGUUAGACAAACAGGAUACCUCCACGAGUUACCUGAAUUGUAGUCUUAUCGGACCGAAAGUCUUCUUUUCUACUGUCGAAAUAAAACAACAACAUCACACGGAUAAGCCUUUGUUCUUCACUCACGAAACAAAAAAAUUAUUAUAUUGAUCUUACUUACUUUAUACACUCCCAACUCGAGGACUCAACACAUUAACCAGAUUUGGAAAAACCAAGAAAAACAACAAGGACACUUUUCACACUACUGCCUCCGUUUCAAUACUCUUGUGGGUCUAGUACAUACGAAUACAUGGUUCCUGAAACGAGUAUUUGUAGGGUUCAACUAGUAAAGAUGUAUGUAUGUUAUAAUAGUUCUUCGUAAGAACACCGAUCUUCGAGUUGUUUUAACUUUAAGAGUUCAGUUAGUACGUACCAGUACAUACACCAUACAGUCCGAAACAAGUAUAUAUAGGAGGGCUUCUACGAGAAUUCAACUUACAGCCAAGAUUUAUUCUUCAAAUCCUCUUGUCGUUACACCAUGUUUAAAUGUUAUAUACCGAAAGUACUAAAUACGGAUUGUUCACUAUUCUAAGACAUUCAGUACGGUGAAUUAAUGAAAAAAGGUAGUAUAUAUAGUAAUAAUAAAGCACGACUAAAACCAUUGUAAGAUGUAAUGAGAUGUUUAUCUCUAUCAACAUUUAUAUCUGACUCUCUAUCAUGACUUGAUGAUUAAAAGAUCUGAUUAAACUCGACUACUUUUUUAUUGGUACGAUUGCUUUCAUGAACGUCGAUUACUAUGUACCCCAGCAUUAUGUCUUUUGUGUUAGAUAAAUUUACUCCACAUGACAAUGGUAUAAUCGUCUAGAAGAGGAAAACAAUUUGUACGAAGUGAAG
rnacentral:rRNA from 1 species